rnacentral:rRNA from 1 species
AGCAGCCGCGGUAAUUCCAGCUCCAAUAGCGUAUAUUAAAGUUGUUGCAGUUAAAAAGCUCGUAGUUGAAUUUCGGGGUUCUACCGUUGGUCGGGCUUUGUCUGUACUGGCGUGUAGAAUUUCUACCUUCUGGGGAACCAUCAUGUUAUUAAUUUAACGUGGUGGGAAACCAGGACCUUUACCUUGAAAAAAUUAGAGUGUUCAAAGCAGGCUUAUGUCUGAAUACAUUAGCAUGGAAUAAUAGAAUAGGACGGUGGUCCUGUUUUGUUGGUUUCUGAAUCACCGUAAUGAUUAAUAGGGAUAGUUGGGGGCAUUAGUAUUCAAUUGUCAGAGGUGAAAUUCUUGGAUUUAU